rnacentral:rRNA from 1 species
UACGUAGGGAGCAAGCGUUGUCCGGAAUCAUUGGGCGUAAAGCGCGCGUAGGCGGCCCUGUAAGUCCGUUGUGAAAGUCAAAGGCUCAACCUUUGAAAGCCGAUGGAUACUGCAGGGCUGGAGUCCGGAAGAGGCGAGUGGAAUUCCUGGUGUAGCGGUGGAAUGCGCAGAUAUCAGGAGGAACACCAAUAGCGAAGGCAGCUCGCUGGGACGGUACUGACGCUAAGGCGCGAAAGCGUGGGGGAGCGAACAGGA